UACGUAGGGGGCAAGCGUUGUCCGGAAUUACUGGGCGUAAAGGGUGCGUAGGUGGUUGUCUAAGUCAGAUGUGAAAUCCCCGGGCUUAACUCGGGUGGUGCAUUUGAAACUGGGCGACUAGAGUGCAGGAGAGGGAAGCGGAAUUCCUAGUGUAGCGGUGAAAUGCGUAGAUAUUAGGAGGAACACCAGUGGCGAAGGCGGCUUUCUGGACUGUAACUGACACUGAGGCACGAAAGCGUGGGGAGCAAACAGG
rnacentral:rRNA from 1 species